rnacentral:rRNA from 1 species
GUAGCAAGCUAACUGAGCUUGAUUAUGGGGGAAAAUCCACAGUUAAGCGUGCUUGAUCUAGAGGCGUAUUAGGAUGGGUGACCACCUGGGAAGUCCUGGUUACUAGGUGCA